rnacentral:rRNA from 1 species
AUUGAACGCUGGCGGCAGGCCUAACACAUGCAAGUCGAACGGUAACAGGAAGAUGCUUGCUUCUUUGCUGACGAGUGGCGGGCGGGUGAGUAAUGUCUGGGAAACUCCCUGAUGGAGGGGGAUAACUACUGGAAACGGUAGCUAACACCGCAUAACGUCGCAAGACCAAAGAGGGGGACCUUCGGGCCUCUUGCCAUCGGAUGUGCCCAGAUGGGAUGAGCUAGUAGGUGGGGUAACGGCUCACCUAGGCGACGAUCCCUAGCUGGUCUGAGAGGAUGACCGGCCACACUGGAACUGAGACACGGUCCAGACUCCUACGGGAGGCAGCAGUGGGGAAUAUUGCGCAAUGGGCGCAAGCCUGAUGCAGCCAGGCCGCGUGUAUGAAGAAGGCCUUCGGGUUGUAAAGUACUUUCAGGGGGGAGGAAGCGAGUAAGGUUAAUACCUUGGCUGAUUGACGUUACCCGCAGAAGAAGCACCGGCUAACUCCGUG